AGAGUUUGAUCAUGGCUCAGAACGAACGCUGGCGGCAUGCCUAACACAUGCAAGUCGAACGAGACCUUCGGGUCUAGUGGCGCACGGGUGCGUAACGCGUGGGAAUCUGCCCUAGGGUGCGGAAUAACUCGGAGAAAUCCGUGCUAAUACCGCAUAAUGUCUUCGGACCAAAGAUUUAUCGCCCUGGGAUGAGCCCGCGUAGGAUUAGCUAGUUGGUGGGGUAAAGGCCUACCAAGGCGACGAUCCUUAGCUGGUCUGAGAGGAUGAUCAGCCACACUGGGACUGAGACACGGCCCAGACUCCUACGGGAGGCAGCAGUGGGAAUAUUGGACAAUGGGCGAAAGCCUGAUCCAGCAAUGCCGCGUGAGUGAUGAAGGCCCUAGGGUUGUAAAGCUCUUUUACCCGGGAUGAUAAUGACAGUACCGGGAGAAUAAGCUCCGGCUAACUCCGUG
rnacentral:rRNA from 1 species